UCUACGCGCGGCUGCAGUGGAGAAUAUUGCACAAUGGGGGAAACCCUGAUGCAGCGACGCCGCGUGAGUGAAGAAGUAUCUCGGUACGUAAAGAUCUAGCAGCAGGGAAGAAAAUGACGGUACCUGACUAAGAAGCCCCGGCUAACUCCGUGACAGUAGCCGCGGUAAUACGGAGGGGGCAAGCGUGAGCCGGAUUUACAGGGAGUAAAGGGAGCGUAGACGGUAGCAGAAGUCUGGAGUGAAAUCCCGGGGCUUAACCCCGGAACUGCUUUGGAAAAUGUGCGGCUGGAGUGCAGGAGGGGUAAGCGGAAUUCCUAGUGUAGCGGUGACAUGCGUAGAUAUUAGGAGGAACGCCGGUGGCGAAGGCGGCUUACUGGACUGUAACUGACGUUGAGGCUCGAAAGCGUGGGGAGCAAACAGGAUUAGAUACCCUAGUAGUC
rnacentral:rRNA from 1 species